UGCUUGCCGCGGGUGGCGCUGGGAUCGAGGUUUUCGGAAAUCUCAGUGUCAGCGUAGUCGUGACGUGGAGUGAAUUGUGGCCAAAGAAAUCCUCAUUUUCUCUCCAGCCAUCAAAGCAAUUUCACAUCUCUGUGCAUAAAUCUCUCCAGCAGACAUCCACAAUAUCUGAAGUGCAAUCAUGGAUCAAAUCGCCAAGUUCUGUGAACCGGGAAGGCUAUUCGCCAAGGAUUCCAUCAGGCUGAUCAAGAGGUGCACAAAGCCAGACCGGCGAGAGUUCCAGAAGAUUGCCAUUGCCACAGCCAUUGGCUUCUGCAUAAUGGGCUUCAUUGGCUUCUUCGUCAAACUCAUCCAUAUCCCCAUCAAUAACAUCAUCGUGGGAUCGUAAGUUCUGGCCCCACUUUGUCCCUUCCGGAAGCACCUUGUGGCCUCAGCAGGUACUACUCCCUGAUGCCCUGAAGCCCUCACAAGAGCCCCAAAUCAUUUUUCUAUUUAUCUCUCCUCAAAAAAUAAAAAUAAAAGACAGAUUUUUAUUGAAGAAAAAUUCUGUAAUUGUUGAGACUUCUACACUGAAAAGCAUAAUUUUUUUCCAUUGUUCCUUGUCCUAAAAAAACCCCCCAAAAAUCUCAAGGGAAGUUCUCUAUGGGUUUUACAUUUUACAAGUAAAAGUCAAAAAUGCAGAUAUUUUCCCCUUGUUACAACUAGAGAUGGUAAAAUUUCAGAAAUUUCACAGCAGUCGCAAUCUACUUUAGGCGGAAAUUCAUGAAAUUUCUUAAAAUUUACCAACUCUAGUUACAACUGUUUUUUUUUUGUAAAUCUGAAGGAAAAUUCUCUUUACACUUACAUGUAGUUUAAAUUACACGGUAAUAAAAUGGGGGAAUAAAAUACA